rnacentral:rRNA from 1 species
CUGGCAGGCCUAACACAUGCAAGUCGAGCGGUAGCACAGAGAGCUUGCUCUCGGGUGACGAGCGGCGGACGGGUGAGUAAUGUCUGGGAAACUGCCUGAUGGAGGGGGAUAACUACUGGAAACGGUAGCUAAUACCGCAUAAUGUCGCAAGACCAAAGUGGGGGACCUUCGGGCCUCAUGCCAUCAGAUGUGCCCAGAUGGGAUUAGCUAGUAGGUGGGGUAACGGCUCACCUAGGCGACGAUCCCUAGCUGGUCUGAGAGGAUGACCAGCCACACUGGAACUGAGACACGGUCCAGACUCCUACGGGAGGCAGCAGUGGGGAAUAUUGCACAAUGGGCGCAAGCCUGAUGCAGCCAUGCCGCGUGUGUGAAGAAGGCCUUCGGGUUGUAAAGCACUUUCAGCGGGGAGGAAGGCGUUAAGGUUAAUAACCUUGUCGAUUGACGUUACCCGCAGAAGAAGCACCGGCUAACUCCGUGCCAGCAGCCGCGGUAAUACGGAGGGUGCAAUCGUUAAUCGGAAUUACUGGGCGUAUAUCGCACGCAGGCCGUCUGUCAACUCAGAUGUGAAAUCCCCGGGCUCAACCUGGGAACUGCAUUCAAAACUGGCAUGGUAGAGUCUUGUACAGGGGGGUAGAAUUCCAGGUGUAGCGGUGAAAUGCGUAGAGAUCUGGAGGAAUACCGGUGGCGAAGGCGGCCCCCUGGACAAAGACUGACGCUCAGGUGCGAAAGCGUGGGGAGCAAACAGGAUUAGAUACCCUGGUAGUCCACGCCGUAAACGAUGUCGAUUUGGAGGUUGUGCAGCUUUGAGGCGUGGCUUCCGGAGCUAACGCGUUAAAUCGACCGCCUGGGGAGUACGGCCGCAAGGUUAAAACUCAAAUGAAUUGACGGGGGCCCGCACAAGCGGUGGAGCAUGUGGUUUAAUUCGAUGCAACGCGAAGAACCUUACCUGGUCUUGACAUCCACAGAACUUUCCAGAGAUGGAUUGGUGCCUUCGAGAACUGUGAGACAGGUGCUGCAUGGCUGUCGUCAGCUCGUGUUGUGAAAUGUUGGGUUAAGUCCCGCAACGAGCGCAACCCUUAUCCUUUGUUGCCAGCGGUUAGGCCGGGAACUCAAAGGAGACUGCC